rnacentral:rRNA from 1 species
CAUUUAGAGUAAGUAANAGUCGUAAUCAGGUUUCCGUAGGUGAACCAGCGGAAGGAUCAUUA